rnacentral:rRNA from 1 species
UACGUAGGGUGCGAGCAUUGUCCGGAAUUAUUGGGCGUAAAGAGCUCGUAGGCGGUCUGUCGCGUCGAUCGUGAAAACUUGGGGCUUAACCCUGAGCUUGCGGUCGAUACGGGCAUGACUGGAGUUCGGCAGGGGAGACUGGAAUUCCUGGUGUAGCGGUGAAAUGCGCAGAUAUCAGGAGGAACACCGGUGGCGAAGGCGGGUCUCUGGGCCGAUACUGACGCUGAGGAGCGAAAGCCAGGGGAGCAAACGGG